rnacentral:rRNA from 1 species
AGAGUUUGAUCCUGGCUCAGGACGAACGCUGGCGGCGUGCUUAACACAUGCAAGUCGAACGCUGAACCGGUUUCGGCCGGGGAUGAGUGGCGAACGGGUGAGUAACACGUGGGUAAUCUGCCCUGUACUCUGGGAUAAGCCUGGGAAACUGGGUCUAAUACCGGAUACGACCACUACAGGCAUCUGUGGUGGUGGAAAGUUCCGGCGGUAUGGGAUGAACCCGCGGCCUAUCAGCUUGUUAGUGGGGUAAUGGCCUACCAAGGCGACGACGGGUAGCCGGCCUGAGAGGGUGACCGGCCACACUGGGACUGAGACACGGCCCAGACUCCUACGGGAGGCAGCAGUGGGGAAUAUUGGACAAUGGGCGGAAGCCUGAUCCAGCAACGCCGCGUGAGGGAUGACGGCCUUCGGGUUGUAAACCUCUUUCAGCAGGGACGAAGCGCAAGUGACGGUACCUGCAGAAGAAGCACCGGCCAACUACGUGCCAGCAGCCGCGGUAAUAC